CCUACGGGAGGCAGCAGUGGGGAAUAUUGGACAAUGGGCGGAAGCCUGAUCCAGCGACGCCGCGUGAGUGAAGAAGGUUUUCGGCAUGUAAACCUCUAUCAGCAGGGAAGAAAGACAUGACGGUACCUGACUACGAAGCCCCGGCUACCUACGUGCCAGCAGCCGCGGGAAUACGUAGGGGGCAAGCGUUAUCCGGAAUUACUGGGUGUAAAGGGUGCGUAGGCGGCAAUGCAAGUCUGAUGUGAAAGGCUGGGGCCUAACCCGGGGAUUGCAUUGGAAACUGGAAGGCUGGAGUGCAGGAGAGGUAAGCGGAAUGCCUAGUGUAGCGGUGAAAUGCGUAGAUAUUAGGAAGAACACCAGUGGCGAAGGCGGCUUGCUGGACUGAAACUGACGCUGAGGCACGAAAGCGUGGGGAGCGAACAGGAUUAGAUACCCGUGUAGUC
rnacentral:rRNA from 1 species